AGAGGGAUAAGACAACUGCAAUUCAAUGUAGCAUCAAGACGGGAAGAAAAACACAGCCCUUGAAGAUUCCAAGGAGAAAGAUCUAACUCACUGGAGAAAGAUCAAACUCAUUGUGAUAUCAAAGAAGCCUGAGGAAGGAGGUCGCAUUUGAAAUGGGCUUUGAGUGGCGGAUGAGCAGUGGUUACAGGAAAGGGAAAGGCAUUUCAGAUGGGAACAGCAGCACCAGCAGGAACAUGGAGAUGCAAAAGGUUAAAGCAUACUCAUGGCACAAGUAAAGCCAUUUGUCUAGAACAGGGGUAGGCAAACCAAGGCCCACAGGCCACAUCCAGCCAGGUGCCUGCUUGUUCUAUGGCUUGUGAGAAAAGAGUGUUUUUCCAUUAUUACAUUUUAAAUGGUUAUAUAAGUAGCUAAAUAAUAUUCUCAGUUUUGCCUCUUGGCCUGCAAUGUCUAAACUAUUUACUUUAUGGCCCCUUAAGAAAAAGUUUGCUGACUUGGAGACCCCUGGGGACUUUGAAGACAGAUGUUGGCCAUGUAAUAUGAAAAAAGAUCUCUGGUCACCCUAAGCCAAUACAUUUUAUUGUUGGAUCCAGAAAGAAGAGCAUUCAUAUGCAGUAGGCGCUCCUCAUCUACGGUUUUGC
rnacentral:lncRNA from 1 species